GGGGAAGAGUCUGAGGGGAAGGCUGGAGCCCCCUGGGCGGUGAGGGAGGGGGAGGCAGGAGCCCCGGCUGACACCCCCCCUCCCACAUCACAUUUCCAAUCGGAAGGCUUUUUUUCCAGCGGUGGGGGUUCUGCAAGGUCGCCAUCUGGGCCGAAUCCCACACUGGACCCACCCAGAGUGAUCGGCUGCCAUUGCUCCUCUUCAUGGGCUCCAUUUUUCCGGGUAGUCGAACUAGCAGUUGUUUUCCAGGAAUUGUUCAUUUUCCCAGAUGAGUCUGAGAGUGGCUAAUGUGCCUCUAGACCAGUGAUGGGGAACCUAUGGCACACAUGCCACAGCUGGCAUGCAGAGCCCUCUCUGUGAGCACAUGAGCCAUGAGUUGCUGGAUUGCUACCCCCUGCAGCUGAACCUCGGGAACUGUCUGGGGCUGUAUGAAUGGAGAAAUAUCUGUCCUCCGAUCCUGGCUUUCGGCAACUGACUCUGCUGGUGCUGUAGUCCAGCAGAGGGAUGCAAUGGCAGCCAUUACUGUUCUAGCCUGACGAGGGAUUAGAGGGCCGGUAAGUAUUUUGCUGUUAAUACUGCCCCUAGAAUUUAAACAAGCAUUUAACCCUUGCAGUGCAGGGGCAGCCCCACGACAAGGGUUAAAAAAAAGUUAGCUGACAGUUCAGCUUUAACGUUUUGUUGAGGUGACCAACACAAGUGACGCCUCUGCCUGCAACACCAGCCAAGUUGGUUUUGUGUUGUAAUUUGUAUUUAUUUAUUCAUUUAUUUAUUUAUUGGCAAAGCCAACACCAUAUUCCCUGGUCUCACCUGAGCACCAAUUUCAUACUUGACCUAAAAGACACCUAAGUGCUAAAACCAGAAGCUGCAUGGAAUGUGAGAACAGUUACCAGUAGGUUUCAAGUGGCCCAGAAGUAUGGUUACAACACCAAAGUGAAACCACAGGAGUUCCAACUGGGACCAAAGGCAGUCCGUCUACUCCCCUCCCGUGCACCAAGGUAGUGAGUGCCCCCCUGUCGAGGUAGGGUCGC
rnacentral:lncRNA from 1 species